AGAGUUUGAUCCUAGCUCAGGAUGAACGUUGGUAGCAUGCCUAACAUAUGCAAGUCGAACGAGAUUGUAGUAAUACAAUCUAGUGGCGAACGAGUGAGUAAUACUUAUCUUACCUGCCGUUUAGUGGGGGAUAAAAUACCACAUAUUCUUUGGCUUCGGCUAAAGGAAAGGGAGUCUUCGGACUAUCGCUAAACGAUGGGGAUAAGGCGUAUUAGCUAGUUGGUGGGAUAAAGGCCUACCAAGGCAAUGAUGCGUAGCCAGGCUGAGAGGCUGAUUGGCCACGAGGGAACUGAGACACGGUCCCUACUCCUACGGGAGGCAGCAAUGAGGAAUCGUCGGCAAUGGGGGCAACCCUGACCGCGCAAUGCUACGUGAAGGAGGAAGGUCUACGGAUUGUAAACUUCCGUUAGUGCGGAAGAAAGGCUGAAUGCAGUUCAGUUUUGACGGUACGCACAGAGAAAGCCACGACUAACUACGUGCCAGCAGUCGCGGUAAGACGUAGGUGGCGAACGUUAUCCGGAAUUAUUGGGCGUAAAGGGUGCGUAGAUGGUAUAAUAAGUUAGCGGUGGUAAAUCGAGGCUCAACCUCGUGGAAGCUGGUAAUACUGUUAUGCUUGAGUGCGGGAGAGGUUAACGGAACUCCAUGUGGAGCGGUAAAAUGCGUAGAUAUAUGGAAGAACAUCAAUAACGGCGAAGGCAGUUAACUAUUCUGUUACUGACAUUGAGGCACGAAAGCGUGGGGAGCAAAACGGAUUAGAUACCCGUGUAGUCCACGCCCUAAACGAUGAGUACUAGGUAUUGGGAACUUGAUUCUCAGUGCCGCUAGGUAACCCAGUAAGUACUCCGCCUGGGUAGUACGGUCGCAAGGCUGAAACUCAAAGGAAUUGACGGGGACUCGCACAAGCAGUGGAGCAUGUGGUUUAAUCCGAUACAACGCGUAGAACCUUACCAAGGCUUGACAUGUUGGGCAAAGCUAGGGAAACCUAGUGGAGGUUAUCCUAACACAGGUGCUGCAUGGCCGUCGUCAGUUCGUGCCGUGAGGUGUAUGGUUAAGUCCUAUAACGAACGCAACCCUUGGACUUAGUUGCCAGCAUUAAGUUGGGGACUCUAGGUCGACUGCCUGAGUAAUCAGGAGGAAGGAAAGGAUGACGUCUGGUCGUCAUGGCCCUUAUGCCUUGGGCGACACACGUGCUACAAUGGCUAAUACAAAGGGACGCCAACCCGCGAGGGGGAGCAAAUCUCAAAAAAUUAGCCUCAGUUCGGAUUGGAGGCUGCAACUCGCCUCCAUGAAGUUGGAAUUGCUAGUAAUCGCAAAUCAGCCAUGUUGCGGUGAAUACGUUCUCGAGUCUUGUACACACCGCCCGUCAAAUCACGAAAGUCGGUAAUGUCUGAAACCAGUUAGUUAACCCGCAAGGGAUGCGGCUGACAAGGGUAGGAUUGGCAAUUGGGGUUAAGUCGUAACGAGGUA
rnacentral:rRNA from 1 species